rnacentral:pre_miRNA from 1 species
CUUAUACUCCCUCCGUUCGGAAUUACUUGUCUCGGAAAUGGAUGUAUCUAGAACUAAAAUACGUCUAGAUACAUUCAUUUCUGCGACAAGUAAUUCCGAACGGAGGGAGUAUAUG